rnacentral:rRNA from 1 species
UACGUAGGGUGCAAGCGUUAAUCGGAAUUACUGGGCGUAAAGCGUGCGCAGGCGGUUUUGUAAGUCUGACGUGAAAUCCCCGGGCUCAACCUGGGAAUUGCGUUGGAGACUGCAAGGCUAGAAUCUGGCAGAGGGGGGUAGAAUUCCACGUGUAGCAGUGAAAUGCGUAAAGAUGUGGAGGAACACCGAUGGCGAAGGCAGCCCCCUGGGUCAAGAUUGACGCUCAUGCACGAAAGCGUGGGGAGCAAACAGG